GCAGACCACGUUAGAACCUCGGCUCCUGGAGUAGCAGAACCUCGGCUUCAAUGGGACCCUCAUUUCAUAAAUGAAGAAACUGAGAUUCAAAGAGGGGAACUACCGAAGGUUACAGAGCGAGUUCGUGGGUAAGCAUGGCUUCCCAGAUGACCACCAAGGUGGAAGGGAUGAUGAUGUCCAGGCAGAAGGGAGCUAGGCCGGCCCAGGCUUUUCCUCUAGGCACAGCGGACUCCAGGUUCAGCCUUCCCGGAUGGUAAUGUUGCAUUCUGAAGAGCUACUUUCCCGCCAACUCAUCUCUGGACUUCUCUGGGGCCCAACUCUGGUUUCCUGCCUGCAGGAGGUCCCCUCUGACUUCCGACAGUAGAUGACCCUUCUGACUCACAGUUCUACUGCUGGGAAAUGCCUCCAGAGCUGCUGCCCACCCUCUCUGCAUCCCUCCAGAGGUGCAGAGUGGUUGGUGACUUCUCCUGGGCCAUGAGGACAGUCAGUUAAAGUCCUGGCUACCUAUCCCUGAGCCCACAUAUCCUAUGGCUUCACGGAAGGUCCCACCUCCCAAGAAGGGGCUAGUGGCAGGGAAGUUGAGAAACAGAGAGACGGAAAGGUGGCAUAAAACCAAAGAGGGGGACACUGGAGAGGAGCCAGCAAGAGGCCAGGCUGGGGAUGUCAGAGAAGAGGAAAACAGAGAUGAAGCCACAGGCCUGGGGACAAGGGAAGAUGAGAGACAGGAGAUGGAACCCCUUCCCAGACCUGGUGAUGAGGAGGAGGCUCUGAGCAGUCCUAGCCAGGCCCCAGAGAAGCCAUUCCCUUCCUUUGACAGAUGCCACCUGUGUACGCCCCUGCCCGCGAAGAAGUUAACAAAUCACCACCACCACCCUGCCCUGGCCUGGUUGCUGUUGACGUUCAGUCUCCAGGAUGCAUCAUUUUCUUGGAUUUUAAUAGAUAAUUGCCUCGGCCAGACCCUGCAGAGCAAAUUGCCAGCAAAUGUUCAUUGAACACUUUAAAAAUCGAGGGGAAGAGGAGAGGGCUUGGAGGCAGCAUGUGGGGAGAGGUCAACCUCUAAAGUGCCAGCUCUCCAGAAAUGCAGCCGGAAUGAAGGUUUGAAGGGAUGGUAGUGAAUGGAGCACUCCAGGCAGUGUGUGUGCUGAAUCUCAGGGCGGUUUUAGGAGCACUUCAAAGGCCUUUUUGACCAAGAUAUUCACGUUGGCCUGAGGUGAAACAACUCUUAAAAAGCUUUAUUUGAGGAGCCUGGCAGUCCUAUAAGGGGAAACCCACCUAUUACUUCAAGCAAAGCUGAUGCAGAGAGAUGAGCCAAUUGAGCAGGAGACAAUGUAAGCAGCUGUGGGGGUGUCGAGUACUCCCUCCUGCCUGUGGGAGCUGCACCGUGGAGUCUAGCUUGUCACCCUCCGGAGGCAGAGCCCCUCCUCCCUGCCUCCUCUUGGUCUAGAUGGACAGCCAUGGCAGCGGAGGCUGCAGAGCUGAGCAGGUGAUACUGGGCAGCGACCCUGCUGCGGGCAGCGUCCACACCCCACAGCUCUUUACUGCAUUUAUUUAACAAGCGACAUUGAGCCAGCAAUCUCUGCUGAAAAGUGCUCAGCCCUGGAGAGAGAACUGUGAACAACGUGGACACAGCUCCUGCUUUGUGGAGCUUGGUGUCUGACUGGGGUAAAAAUAAACAAGCAGUUACAACACA
rnacentral:lncRNA from 1 species